GUAUUGUAUAAGAAAAUGUUAGCAUUUGCCUUACAAGGACAGAAGAGGCCCUCAGGUCUGUACAACACACCUUCAGCUAAAGCCUUCCACCUGCUUCCAAUCCUGGUUUUGAGAAUGGAAUCAACUAUGUGAUGGG
ensembl:snRNA